rnacentral:rRNA from 1 species
GGGAACUACGAGCAUAAGCUUAAAACCCAAAGGACUUGGCGGUGCUUUAAACCCCUCUAGAGGAGCCUGUUCUAGAACCGAUAAUCCCCGUUCAACCUCACCUUUUCUUGCCCAUUCCGCCUAUAUACCGCCGUCGUCAGCAUACCCUGUAAAGGAGACAUAGUUAGCAAAAUUGGUAAAACCCAGAACGUCAGGUCGAGGUGUAGCACACGAAAAGGGAAGAAAUAGGCUACAUUUCCUCUCUCAGGAAACACGAAUUGUGUUAUGAAACAGCACAUGAAGGAGGAUUUAGUAGUAAGUGGAAAAUAGAGUGUUCCACUGAAUCCGGCACUGAAGCGCGCACAUACCGCCCGUCACUCUCCCCAGCCUAAAAAUUUAUGUACCUAAAACCCAUUCAAGGCAAAGGGGAGACAAGUCGUAACAUGGUAAGUGUACCGGAAGGUGCACUUGGAAUAAC